rnacentral:lncRNA from 1 species
CUGGAUGGCAUCGUGAGAUGGAGAGAGAGAGGGACUGUGAGACACUAAGCCAGGAAAAGCCUCGCUCCUGAAUGGCACAGACUCCACGGACACAGAGACAGCUGCUGGCUGCCACCCAGCUUUAUUGGAGGCUAAUGAGAAGUGGGUCCAUAACCACCCAUCGCUACUGCUGCUCCUGUCUGUCCCCAGCCACACCACAUCCUACACCACGCUCACCUACUACAGGUAUGACAGCACCAGAGUAGACCCAGAGCCAGGACCGGAGUCUCAUCCAGCUGUCCCCGCCACUGCGUCACUGUGCGGGCUGCCAAGAGUGCGCUGUGGCAUCCUGAUCCCUCUGAUGGGCCUUGAGGGACAGACGUGAAGACACAGGAUAGAGGUUUACGGGCUGUGUAGCAGUACUGUUGGCCUCAUUCUGCAUCUACAAAUUCAAC